CCCUAACACGUAGCGUCCGAAUAGUAGUCUGCUGUCUCUAGUUUGUGCUCGUGCAGCAGAGGUGAGGUGAAUUACGUUGUCGGAGUAUUCGAACGUUCCAUCGUCAUUAUUUCUUCAUGGAAGUUGGCAUUCUAGUAUUACACUGACAGAUGUUGAAGUUCUCCACGAGAAUGUCCAGCAUCUGAUGAUAAUCGAGAGACGAGAAGUGUUUGCAAAGAGCUGAGAAUCUUUACAGAGGCAAAGUUUCUCAAAUCCUCGAUCACGGAUGAAGAACCUGAACAGUUAUCAACAGAAUCACCGAGGUACGUUUACAAGUAAAGAAGACGGCACAACUGACUUACAAACACCAUCAAAAGUACUUCCUUGAGAUGCAACUUGUUGUUUCCGCGGCCUCCUUUCUGUGGUUCUGCUGCACAGGAAAUCUUAAACAUACUGGAAAAAGUAAAACAUCGUACCCAUCCAAUUUUUGAUAGACGAUAAUAAAAGUAAUAAGCAGAAGAGGAGAGGUUAGGCUGGUCUUGAUAUCAGUAAUUCCUGUGCACUUUUGCAUUUGUUUAAAAUAUAUUCUCAAUCCUUGCCUAUCUUUAAAAUAAGAAGGGUAAACAAAUUCACUUCUCCUUAAAAUAAUUUUCCUUUUCUUUGCUUUUUUUUUCCGCUUAUUUCGGUUAGAAAAUUAUCAACUCAAACUCAUUCAAGGAAGCCUAAACUAUUAAACUUAAAGGAAUGCAAUUCCCUCUUUUCUCCGUCUCCCUUUUUUUUAAGGGUAUAUCAAUGCAAUCACGAUUUUGUAAGUAGUUUCGAUACUCUGUGUUGUCUGGUUCGUAAUAAUUUGACAAGAUUGUAUUUUUUGGGGAAAUAUCUCAGACCUAUGGAAUUCCUAUGCAACGAGAAUUACAGUUUUAUAAGCAGUGCACAUUGCAUGCACAUGUCAAUUCAAACGGACGAUAUAGUAAGGCGAUGUUCAUUUUGCUUUGUUUUGGUGGUAUUGCUAGCGCAUUUUCAACGCAAGUCUCUUUUCCUUAUGUAUGAUAUGAAAUCAAUUAAUUUGUCACGUGACAUAUUGCAAUAUGCAGCGAUACGUCUGUCAUUAUUGACCGCUAGCAAUAUUGCAGCGGUGCGCCCCUCCAUGCUGAACUUUUGAAUGAUAUCGUGACGAUGUGCGCGUCGUUGGCUAACUAUCUAAGCAUGUAACUAGCAGUGUAAAUGGCUUUGUUACCUUGAUUUAUGAUAUUGCAUCUAUGUGCAUGCUCUCACGUGGUCUUAUUCGCGGUAUUCACCAGCUAUUCAGGUUGCACCAUUUGUGAUUCCUGCGAGUGGAUGAUAUUGCAGCAACAUGCACGCCCGUUAUUGCACUAUUAGUUACCAAUGUCACAACGCAAGUCUCUUUUUCUUUGCUAGAUGCUGUUACAACAGUGCUCAUGUCUUUUCCCCACUGAUAGCGCAUGUCAUGAGCUAACUGUGAAAUGAUAGUGUUGCAGUUAACCUCGGGUGACAUUGCAGCAACGACGAGAAUUUCUGCACUACGUAGUGGCUUGUCAUAACACCAUUUCAGAUCUCCUAUAUCUUCUUUUGAUUAUACGACACCAGCUUGCGUGCCAUUUCAGGCACUGGUAUUCCAUGUACAAGUCUGAUACUCUGUUUAAGGAUGUCUCGAUUCCUUCCAUACAUCUGUUACGCCGUUAGGCAACUCCAGAAAAUACUACUCUUUAAUUUGCAGUUUUGUCGACACUUUCUGUAAGCUCCAAAGGUCUGUUGAUCUUG